rnacentral:rRNA from 1 species
UACGAGGGGUGCAAGCGUUAUUCGGAAUCAUUGGGCGUAAAGGGUGCGUAGGCGGCAUAUUAAGUCAACUGUUACAUUCUCCAGCCUAACUGGGGGCCUGCAGUAGAUACUGAUUUGCUAGAGGUUGGAAGAGAGAAGUGGAAUUCUCGGAGUAGCGGUAAAAUGCGUAGAUCUCGAGAGGAACACCGAUGGCGAAGGCAGCUUCUUGGUCCACACCUGACGCUGAGGCACGAAAGCGUGGGGAGCAAACAGG